ensembl:lncRNA
UCUUGCUGGAGAUCCAUGCACACCCAAGGUCUUCUGAAGAAUCACAGAACCAUUUGAGACAGAGGGGACCUUUGGCCAUCUGGUCCAGUGGGACCUGCAGUGCAGAGGGACACCGACAGCUCCAUCAGGGCUCAGAGCCCUGUCCAGCCUGACCUUGGGGCUCUCAUCAAGAACAUCCCACCUGUUUGCCAUCUUCACAUCCAAGGGUGGACGUCUUUAAGAGACCUCAGGCCCUCAGACAGCCCUCUGCAGCCUCACAAGCAUUUCUGGGAACAGCAGAAAUGUUCGUGGCUGCAGUGACCUACAGGCAAACAGCAAAGGAUGUUUGUAGAAACUAAAUUUCACAUGCAGUCACAUCAGGAAUCGAAUCGAAAGGAUUAGAUCACCCCAUCAAAGAGCUAAAACAAUAUCCUGCCUCAUACACCCGAUCAGGAGCAAUCAGCAGGGCUCUAAAUUUUGUGUCUGCUUAUAACAAACUGCCCAUAAACAAGCUGCAGACCUAGGCAGGAACUUCAGAUAACAAAUGAAUUUGAGCAAAUCUCAGCAACAGCUCCUGGACAACUUGCAAACAGAGAGGAAACUAAAUUAAUCAGAUAAAUGAUUUGCUCAGCUCUGGUGGAAAAUGUCAAACACUUCAAAACUAACCUUUUGGAUUGCUCUUCCCGGAUCUAUUUAAGAUUUCUGCCUUUUGCAUUUGUCAACAGAGCGAGGAAGCAAGUGUGUUUCAAUAAGGGCGAUGUGCCACUCACAGCACGUAGUGCUGGCCCUGUACUGACCAAACCCUUUCUGUGAGCACGUCUGAUGCACCAAAGUGAGUGCUUUGCUGUAUGGGAGCAUGGGUUCCUUGCUUGGCAUGCAGCCCUUUGCUGCUGUGUAUGUGGAGAUAGCUUCACCAUGAGCACAGGUGCAAGGCCCAAUUAUACUCCAUGCACGGGGACGCCUUGUUACGCAGCACGCCAGCCUUGCUCUGCCAUGUAUUGAUCAGGCAGGGGUGCAUUUGGUGCAGAGAUGUCUCUUGGCUGGUUGAAAUACAGGGCGUUCAAUGUUUAUUAUGUUCUCAACAAAGUCUGUUAUCAGCAAGUUUGAAGUUUGUUGCUAUCUCCCAGCGUCUUAGACUAAUCACUGUAAUGAAGGCAUUGAACGGAGCCCUUCUCAGGUGGCAUUUACCAUUGUUUGCUGCAGAUAACAUAAAGCUUUCUGAUUACAGUCGGCUUUUAUCACUUCAGAGCAAAUCUACUCUACUGAAAUGUGCUAAUAAAACCCACGGAAGCAACAAACUGGAAAGAAGUGUUACAGCAAUAAAGGAACAUGAGGGAAAAUGUACGGCUUUUGCCGCUGUUAUCAUUUUCAAUUUAUUAAGAUCUAACCAUUUUUGUAAUACGGAGCUAUUGCUGGGGGUUAAUUUAAUCUUCUAUAAUACCAGGUUCAGGUCAGUUUUCAGUGUCAAUUUAGAUGCGAUGCAUAUUUUUGCGUUAGAAUCAGAGAAACACCCUCCACGGCCCCAUGACCACCAUAUGCUUUCAACAAUCCGAGUGUAAAUGCCCAGCGCUUCACACGUCUGCUUUAUGAGAUUAGCUCCAGCCCUUAAACACACAAGUCCCAUCAAAAGCACCUGACGUCACGGCUCCAAGGACGAGCAGCUCCUGGAUGCGAUGCAGUGACGCUGAGUUAUGAGCUGGAGCCAUCCAUCGCUGCCCUCAGCCAACCGCCGUGUAUUUAUCUGCUGCCUUUCCCUCUAAAUGGUCCCAGAAGCAGAUUAGAAAACUGCCAGGCUAAAUCUUGAGUUCUUCAUUCCAUCUGUGCCGAAGACGGCAGUUCUUCUGCGUGUAGAAGGGCAAUGUAAAACCCAGUAAAGGUUUUAUGCUGCCACUAGGGAGGCUAAAGACAGCAGCUCAGCAAUGUACAUAAAACACAGAGGGGAAAACUGGAUCCAAAUACUUGGGCCAAAAGAAGUGGGACAAUCAGUGUCUUCCAUGUCUGUGCAUGGGAGACAGGGUAUUAAUUAUCGAGAACUCUUCUCCAUAAUCCCGCUAUGCAAAUAACAUCAAUCUGUGCACUGCAUGAGGAUGCUGAAAGGUUAGGAUUUCAUAUGCCUUUCUGUUCAGGUCAUCUGCAAAUCAAGGGCAUCAAACUCUUCUGCAUCCCACCUCCCUGAUGGUUUCCUGGUUCGGUCCAGCUGACUCAUGAUUUCUCAUGUUGGUGUCUUUCCUGCUUUUACCCUUUGAUGUGUUUCUGUGCAGCUAAAGCAUUCACCUCACCAGAGGGGCUGAAGAGGAGAAGCACAUUAGCAGAGUACUCUUCUCUUCUUUGGAGCUGUGUAGGCCUUUACAAGUGCUGAGUAGAAGGAAACACCAAGCCCAGAAGCUUCAUCUGUUGCAGCACAGCCCUGUGUGCAUGCAGAUACUCAAAGCACAGAGUGCUCACUCUGUUCCAGUCCCCACUCGUGUUCAAGUUGCUCAUGAACUCCAUGCUCAGCCUGCAACUGGCUCCCUCCUAAUGGAGCAGAUGGGGAAACUGAAUCUUCAAAGGAUCAGUGACAAGUGAUUUAGUGAGGUCAUAUAGGACUGAAUGGACAGAGACUGAAUUUAAAUCUGAAGAACUCAUGUUCUUUUGCUGCUCUCUCUGGACUCCAAUGAGGGGCUGAAACAGGGUGCCAAGGGCGUUAGAAU